UGUUGAUUGUGGUUACCAGCUGCCAGCCAUGGUCAACCCCACCGUGUUCUUCGACAUUGCCGCCGACGGAAAGCCCUUGGGCCGCGUCUGCUUCGAGCUGUUUGCAGACAAAGCUCCAAAGACAGCAGAAAACUUUCGUGCUCUGAGCACUGGAGAGAAAAGAUUUGGUUAUAGGGUUCCUGCUUUCACAGGAUUUUCCCAGGAUUCAUGUGCCAGGGUGGUGACUUCACAUGCCAUAAUGGCACUGGUGGAAAGUCCAUCUACGGAGAGAAAUUUGAGGAUGAGAAUUUCAUCCUGAAGCAUACAGGUCCUGGCAUCUUGUCCAUGGCAAAUGCUGGACCAAACACAAAUGGUUCCCAGUUUUUCAUCUGCACUGUCAAGACUGAUUGCUUGGCAGCAAGCAUGUGGUCUUUGGGAAGGUGAAAGAGGGCAUGGAAAUCGUGGAAGCCAUGCAGGGCUUUGGGUCCGGGAAUGGCAAAACCAGCAAGAAGGUCACCAUUACCGACUGCAGACAACUCUAAUACAUUUGAUUUGGUUUACCAUAACCACCAGACCAUUCCUUCUGUAGCUCAGGAGAACACCCUUCCACCCCAUCUGCUUGCAAUAUCCUGUAAUUUUUGUGCUCUCACUGCAGUUCUUUGGGUUCCAUGUUUUCCUUACCUCCCCUCCAAAUCUAGCUGGAUUGCAGAGUUAAGUUUAUGAUUAUGAAUAAAAACUAAACAGUGUC